AUGGAAGAAAACCCUAAGACGCUCCAAAAUGGCGAUUGUACCAUGAUGAAGUGCGAUUUCAAGUCACAAGCAAAUGCGAAAGAUCCAGCAAGUCUUAGACUACGUUAUGGCGUUGAGAAAUCAAGGAAAAAAUAUCGAGUAACCUGUCUUGACGGUGGCUAUUAUGAUGAAGGAGGAUGUUGUUGCUAUUAUGAAGAUGAUUAUGGAGUUGCGAGAUAG